rnacentral:ncRNA from 2 species
UACUUAUCCAGAAAGGCAGAGGGAAUGGCCCGUUGAAGCCUUAGCAACCUGUAAACAAUCAAGGUGCUAAAUCCAACUCUCAUAUUGAGAGAAAGAUAAGAA